GCGCCUCGCUUACACCGAGGAAAUAUCUGUGAGACCCAGAUCAUUUUGA
rnacentral:tRNA from 1 species